AUCACAAGAGCCUUCAGAUGUACUCACUCCCAGGAUAUGCCCUUUGAUGUUUGUAGCAAUAUUCAAUCAGGAGGUUAAAGACGGCUCUCUGUUCGGUUAUGGUCGAUUUGUGGUAAGGUAAGCGUCUCAGUACAUUCUAUUCUGA